CCUACGGGGUGCAGCAGUGAGGAAUAUUGGUCAAUGGACGAGAGUCUGAACCAGCCAAGUAGCGUGAAGGAUGACUGCCCUAUGGGUUGUAAACUUCUUUUAUAAAGGAAUAAAACGAGGCACGUGUGCCUUUUUGCAUGUACUUUAUGAAUAAGGAUCGGCUAACUCCGUGCCAGCAGCCGCGGUAAUACGGAGGAUCCGAGCGUUAUCCGGAUUUAUUUGGUUUAAAGGGAGCGUAGAUGGGUUGUUAAGUCAGUUGUGAAAGUUUGCGGCUCAACCGUAAAAUUGCAAUUGAUACUGGCAGUCUUGAGUACAGUUGAGGUAAGCGGAAUUCGUGGUGUAGCGGUGAAAUGCUUAGAUAUCACGAAGAACCCCGAUUGCGAAGGCAGCUUACUAAACUGUGACUGACAUUGAUGCUCGAAAGUGUGGGUAUCAAACAGGAUUAGAUACCCGUGUAGUC
rnacentral:rRNA from 1 species